GAUUCUAAAUGACUCUCGGCAACGGAUAUCUCGGCUCUUGCAUCGAUGAAGAACGUAGCGAAAUGCGAUACUUGGUGUGAAUUGCAGAAUCCCGUGAACCAUCGAGUCUUUGAACGCAAGUUGCGCCCGAAGCCAUUAGGCUGAGGGCACGCCUGCCUGGGUGUCACACA
rnacentral:rRNA from 1 species